GUCAGGAUGGCCGAAGCGGUCUAAGGCGCUGCGUUCAGGUCGCACUCUCUCCUGGAGCGGUGGGUUCAAAUCCCAUUUCUGACA
rnacentral:tRNA from 1 species